GACUGUGGUGCUAGGAGUUGAUUUACAACAUCCUGUUGCCUUUCUGUGGAAUUCGGCUCCUCAUGUUUCAACCAUUCUCCCGAUCGAAUCUUUCAUUUGUCUGGUUCGGGUCAGAUACGCUACACAAGGUAAAGAAGAUGUGAUCAUGUGGCUCAAAUCAAAAGUGGAUACCAGCAAGACCUUUGAGCUCUGUGUGUCUCGAGAUCAUAUGUUUGAAAGAGGUCUGAAGCUAUGGAAGCGCAACAAAAAGGCUACACCAAUUAAUCCCUUGCGGAUCAAAUUCCUUGGAGAGGCGGGGAUUGAUACAGGGGCCCUUAGAAAAGAGUUUCUGACCACAAUGGUAUCUGGGAUUGAGCAGCGCCUUUUUGAAGGUGUGAAGUCCAAAAUGCCCAAAUAUUCUGUGAAUGACUUUGAUGAAGAGCUCUUCAGGUAGGUGAUUUGCAGUGAUGGGAUUUGAUGGAAGGGAGGGUGGGGGCAAUGAGUUAUACAUUGCUUUUUUCA